GAGUACCUUUCACUUUAUUUCCAUCCCUGAAAUAGAACGCCUCUCCGCAGUUGCUAUGACAACGGAGAAACGAUCCACUUGCAUUCCCUCUUGCCUCCCCUCUGGUUCCUGGGAAACAUGUAACACUUUUUCAGUAGUACACCCAAUCCGGAAAGCCCUUUGUCGCUCACUUGUUCGUGUGCACGGAACCAUUCUUUCAGGAACACAACGGGCCACUAGCAGAGUCCUGGAGACAGGAGUGAACACAUUACAGAGGACCCUUGUCUUGAAGAAGCAGGUGGAAGUGGAUUGUCAGCUGGCACAGAAACAGCAGGAAUUCAGAUCACCUGGAGUAUGGGGUAGACUCCCUGGUGAUGCCCAUCAUACGGCGUCAUGAGACCCUGUCCCUCACCCAUCAGGAUCCGGUGGAGCGCCUGGGCCAGCUGGUGGAGGAGCUGGAGCAGGGCCAGCGCAGCCUGGACAGUCUGAAGCAGGAGCACAACACAAACAAGCUGAUGACGAACAGGGAGCUGUCUGAACUGCAUAACCAGUGGGAUAGAGCCAAGGAGAAAAACAAACAGACUAAGAUUAACCUGAUGAUGCACCAAGGCCAGUCCCGAGACUCCAGAAUACAUUCUGGAGAGGGCAGACAUAGAGAAGAGAGCAACACAACUGAUAGACAAGUGCCACAGAGAACAUAGGAUCACUGAAAAACAUUAACAGUAAAACACAACUAAAGAGCACCAGCAAGACCAGUGGGAAGAGUGGACUGUAUAGUUGAGCAAUGCUGAAUAGGCCUUUUACGAGUUUGUGGAGAAACAUUUACACACAUGAAUACAACCAUGCAGAUGUAUUGUACACACACAUGGUAAAGGGAGUGAGUGCAAUAUAAGUUACUUUUAACUUUUCUUUAAGGUUGUUGUAAUAGUGUUAUAAUAUUAUAGUGUGGUGAUAAGUUGCUGAAGGAAAUUGUUGUGGUUGUACCAUGCAGUUGUACAUGCAUUUCUCAUAUAGCCUAAUCAAAGAUUGAUGAUAAAAAAUUGAUAGGAUGAAUUCAAAUGUUCAUUAGUUUGCUUUAUUCAUUUAAAAAUAUUACAAAUGUUCAUCUGACAAAAUGUAUUUGAACUGACCUCUUUGAAAUGAAUA